rnacentral:rRNA from 1 species
AAAGGUGUCUAUAGCGACGGAGAUCCACCUCUUCCCAUCCCGAACAGAGAAGUUAAGCCCGUUAGCGCCGAUGGUACUGCCGAAUGGUGGGAGAGUAGGUCGAUGCCGAAU